rnacentral:rRNA from 1 species
UACGUAGGGUCCAAGCGUUGUUCGGAUUUACUGGGCGUAAAGGGCGCGUAGGCGGCCUGGCAAGUGGAAGGUGAAAUCCCUCGGCUUAACCGAGGAACUGCCCUCCAAACUGCUUGGCUUGAGACCGGGAGAGGUGAGUGGAAUUCCCAGUGUAGCGGUGAAAUGCGUAGAUAUUGGGAGGAACACCAGUGGCGAAGGCGGCUCACUGGACCGGUACUGACGCUGAGGCGCGAAAGCGUGGGGAGCAAACGGG